AACAGUACUGUAGCGGACGCGGGGCUGUGGCGAAAGCAGGGGUAAUGACGAACGCGGGGGCCAGCGACGGAAGCUCGCCUGUGGCGAACGCGGGGCUGUGGCUGAUGCGGAGCCCACUAGCGGACGCGGGGACGACGGCGGGCUAGAAGGGUUUCGACUGAUACGUGCGCGAAGGCGGACAAGGGAGCAGAAAAGACGAGAGAACGGGUCUGGCGUUCUUGCAGAUGAAACGUACAAGCUGCCCCUGUAACCAGCAUCGUAUCCCUUGCUGAAUGUUGUGCGGAUCCGCUGAACAAUUAUAUAUCUACAGCGUCGACAUUUUAUAAAGAUCUGCUGAUCGCAUGAUCUGACUGGAUAAUUAUUUUAUCCGCUAAGCAGUUCCUGACCAUGAUUUGGUAUUCCGUCUCCUAUAUUCCCU